GUCUCUUAAUUGGAGUCUGGUAUGAAUGGUUGGAUGAAAAAUUUACUUUCUUUAUUUUAAAUAUUGAAUUUGAUUUUUGAGUUAAAAAGCUCAAAUAUAUUUAUAGGACGAGAAGACCCUAUAGAACUUUACUUUUCUUAUUUUAGUUUUUUAUUUGCAAAUAAUUUUUUAUUAUUUUAAUAUAAGUUUUAUUGGGGUGAUAAAAAAAAUUUUAUAACUUUUUUUAUUUUUUUCAUUUAUUUAUGCUUUUUUGAUCCUUUAUUAUGGAUAAUAAGAUUAAGUUACCUUAGGGAUAACAGCGUUAUUAUUUUAGAGAGUUCAUAUCGAUAAAAUAGUUUGCGACCUCGAUGUUGGAUUAAAAUUAGUGUCAGGUGUAGAAUAUUGAUUACUGGGUCUGUUCGACCUUUAAUUUUUUACA
rnacentral:rRNA from 1 species